AGCUCAGUGGUAGAGCACUUGCCUUGCAUGCAUGAGGGCCUGGGUUCAAUUCCUCAG
rnacentral:tRNA from 1 species